rnacentral:rRNA from 1 species
UGGGGAAUCUUGCACAAUGGGCGAAAGCCUGAUGCAGCAACGCCGCGUGCGGGAAGACAGCCCUAGGGUUGUAAACCGCUUUCAGCAGGGAAGAAACUGACGGUACCUGCAGAAGAAGAUGCGGCCAACUACGUGCCAGCAGCCGCGGUGACACGUAGGCAUCAAGCGUUAUCCGGAUUUAUUGGGCGUAAAGAGCUCGUAGGCGGUCCGUUGCGUCUGCCGUGAAAAUCCCCGGAGCUCAACUCCGGGCCUGCGGUGGAUACGGGCGGACUAGAGUCCGGUAGGGGAGACUGGAAUUCCUGGUGUAGCGGUGGAAUGCGCAGAUAUCAGGAGGAACACCGGUGGCGAAGGCGGGUCUCU